rnacentral:rRNA from 1 species
UAACACAUGCAAGUCGACGAGAACGGGUAUUAGUUUACUAAUACUGUCAGCUAAGUGGCGCACGGGUGAGUAAUAUAUAGUUAACUGCCCCAAAGAAGAGAAUAAUUGUUGGAAACGACUUGUAAUGCUCUAUAUGCCUUUAAGACAUAAGUCUGCAAGGGAAAUAUUUAUAGCUUUGGGAUGGGACUGUACGGUAUCAGAUAGUUGGUGAGGUAAUGGCUCACCAAGUCAAUGACGCCUAACUGGUUUGAGAGGAUGAUCAGUCACACUGGAACUGAGACACGGUCCAGACUCCUACGGGAGGCAGCAGUGGGGAAUAUUGCACAAUGGAGGAAACUCUGAUGCAGCAACGCCGCGUGGAGGAUGACACAUUUCGGUGCGUAAACUCCUUUUAUAUGAGAAGAUAAUGACGGUAUCAUAUGAAUAAGCACCGGCUAACUCCGUGCCAGCAGCCGCGGUAAUACGGGGGGUGCAAGCGUUACUCGGAAUCACUGGGCGUAAAGAGCAUGUAGGCUGGUUUGUAAGUUGGAAGUGAAAUCCUAUGGCUUAACCAUAGAACUGCUUCCAAAACUGCAGACCUAGAAUGUGGGAGAGGUAGAUGGAAUUUCUGGUGUAGGGGUAAAAUCCGUAGAGAUCAGAAGGAAUACCGAUUGCGAAGGCGAUCUACUGGAACAUUAUUGACGCUGAGAUGCGAAAGCGUGGGGAGCAAACAGGAUUAGAUACCCUGGUAGUCCACGCCCUAAACGAUGCACACUAGUUGUUGCUAUACUAGAUAUAGCAGUAAUGCAGUUAACACAUUAAGUGUGCCGCCUGGGGAGUACGGUCGCAAGAUUAAAACUCAAAGGAAUUGACGGG